rnacentral:rRNA from 1 species
CGCGCGAUACAGGGUGACAGCCCCGUACACAAAAGCGCAUGUGUUGUGAGCUCGAUGAGUAGGGCGGGACACGUGGUAUCCUGUCUGAAUAUGGGGGGACCAUCCUCCAAGGCUAAAUACUCCUGACUGACCGAUAGUGAACCAGUACCGUGAGGGAAAGGCGAAAAGAACCCCGGCGAGGGGAGUGAAAAAGAACCUGAAACCGUGUACGUACAAGCAGUGGGAGCACCCUUUGGGGUGUGACUGCGUACCUUUUGUAUAAUGGGUCAGCGACUUAUAUUCUGUAGCAAGGUUAACCGAAUAGGGGAGCCGGAGGGAAACCGAGUCUUAAUUGGGCGUUAAGUUGCAGGGUAUAGACCCGAAACCCGGUGAUCUAGCCAUGGGCAGGUUGAAGGUUGGGUAACACUAACUGGAGGACCGAACCGACUAAUGUUGAAAAAUUAGCGGAUGACCUGUGGCUGGGGGUGAAAGGCCAAUCAAACCGGGAGAUAGCUGGUUCUCCCCGAAAGCUAUUUAGGUAGCGCCUCGUGAAUUCAUCUCCGGGGGUAGAGCACUGUUUCGGCUAGGGGGCCAUCCCGGCUUACCAACCCGAUGCAAACUGCGAAUACCGGAGAAUGUUAUCACGGGAGACACACGGCGGGUGCUAACGUCCGUCGUGAAGAGGGAAACAACCCAGACCGCCAGCUAAGGUCCCAAAGUCAUGGUUAAGUGGGAAACGAUGUGGGAAGGCCCAGACAGCCAGGAUGUUGGCUUAGAAGCAGCCAUCAUUUAAAGAAAGCGUAAUAGCUCACUGGUCGAGUCGGCCUGCGCGGAAGAUGUAACGGGGCUAAACCAU